rnacentral:tRNA from 3 species
GGAGCUGUGGCCGAGUGGCUGAAGGCACCGCUUUGCUAAAGCGGCAUACCUGUUAAAGGGUAUCGAGGGUUCGAAUCCCUCCGGCUCCGCCA